rnacentral:tRNA from 1 species
GUGCCUAUAGCUCAGCUGGAUAGAGUAUCAGAUUCCGGUUCUGAGGGUCGCAGGUUCGAAUCCUGUUAGGCACACCA